GAUGAAGAACGCAGCGAAAUGCGAUAAGUAAUGUGAAUUGCAGAAUUCAGUGAAUCAUCGAAUCUUUGAACGCACAUUGCGCCCGCCAGUAUUCUGGCGGGCAUGCCUGUUCGAGCGUCAUUUCAACCAUCAAGCCCCCGGCUUGUGUUGGGGACCUGCGGCUGCCGCAGGCCCUGAAAACCAGUGGCGGGCUCGCUGUCACACCGAGCGUAGUAGAUUUUCAUCUCGCUCAGGGCGUGCUGCGGGUUCCGGCCGUAAAAAGCCUUAUUUACCCAAGGUUGACCUCGGAUCAGGUAGGAAGACCCGCUGAACUUAAGCAUAUCAAUAAGCGGA
rnacentral:misc_RNA from 1 species